rnacentral:lncRNA from 1 species
UAAACAUCCACUUACUCAAGUAUUGGGAAUGUCUUUCUCUUUUUUUCUGAUGAUUAAAGAAUGUUGACUAAAUUAAAUAGAACUCAAGAAAAGCUAGAUGCAAAUGAAAGGAUUCCUCUGCCAACUAAGCUCCCUGAAGAAGUUAGAGGGCAAAAAAACCCCUUCAAUUUUUCUUUUUCCAUCGUCCCGUGUCUUCUGAAGUCACUCUUGAUCUCAUCACAGCACCAGUUCUCGAGAAUCUAUGGACAAUGGAGAAGACACAAAAAAUGCAAAGUAGUCAAGACAUAUUCCCUUUGUUUGAGAAAUACAGCAUCUAUUUGGAGAAACUGGAGGCUGAAAGAAGAUUUCAUUUCUUCUUGGGGUUGGAAGAGACUUUAGAGAUCUCCAUCCUUGUUCAAGUUCCUCAUUUAAGAAAAGGAGAAUCCAACACCUAGAGCUAACACAAUGCAUAAGUAGACUGGUUCCAAUUUUUUGUCAUUUCAUGAACGUUUGUACGCUGUUACCUUGGGCACUUUGAGGAUAUGUAUGAAGAGUCCAACUGCUAGGUCACUUAGUAUGCACACCUUUAAAUUUCCUGGGUUCUAAUUUUGGCUCUAGACUGCUCACCUUCACUGGGCUGGGUUUUGUAAAGCUACCUGCUUACUUCCAUAUUGCUGACUUUUCAGGUCAGGUGGAGCAUUUGUCAGUCUGGGUUCCUGAGUGACUACAAGGAGAAGUCCCCGUGGGUAUGGCUGACAGAAUUACCCCAGGAACUGGAGAACCAAGAUUUGGGCCAGGCAGCAGGACCAAAGCCAAUGUCUUGUGCAACACGAGUGAGAAAUAAAUUUUUGUUUUGUUAAGCCUCUACAAUUUUUAGGCUGUUUGUAACUGUAGCAUAAUUGUAUUAUUGCUACCUACCAGAUUACUGCAAAUUUAGCACUUUUUAGCGACACACAUUUAUUAUCUCAGUUUCCAUGGGUUAGGUUGGGCAUGGCGAGCUGGGUCCUUUGCUUAGGGUCUUGCAAGGCAUAAAUCAAGGUUUCUGUGAGCUGCAUCCUCAUUUGAAGACUCGACUGGGGAAAGAUUCAUUGCCAAGCUUCCACAGGUUGUUGGAAUUUAGUUUGUUGCAGUUGUAUGACUGAGGUCCCUCUGUCCCUUACUAAUUGUCAUCUGGGUGCUGUUCUCAACUCUUUGAGGCUGCCCACAUGCCUGUCCAUGUGGCCUCUUCCAUCUUCAAAGACAGCUACAGAGAAACCUCCUCAUGUCGAUUCCAUCUCACACUUCAAAUCUCCCCAACUUCUCCUGCCUAUGACCUCUAGACCCAGAUAAAGGGUUUAUGUGAUUAGGUCAACCCAUCAGCACAAUUACCCUUUUUUAAAGUCAGCUGUGCCAUAUAAAUCUAUUAUAUUUCUAUGGGGUUUAUACAGACAGUGUACACCAGGGCGUGAGGAUAUUAGGGGACAUCUUAGAAUUCUGCCUAGGACACUAAGCUAACCGAUAUUGGUUGACACUCAUGGGUCAGAUGCAGCAAGAGGACCUGGAAAAGCAGAAGAAUGGAUUCCAUUCUCUUUUUAAUCCCAAUGCAAUUUCUUUUCCUUCACAACCUUUUCUCAGAGUGUAUAUUUUGGGACUUUUCCAUCAAAAAGGACAACAGCUCACAAAACACAUGUGGUUUGGGGGACACAUGGAGUCAACCUAAGGUAUCCCAGGGCUCCAUUGUUCCCUUGAAGUUCUAAGGUCUAUCUCACGCCUCCCCUCUGCCCCAUCAAGACCCUCACACUCUUUGUAACCACAUCUGAGAAGCACAUGUUAAUUAUUAUAAUCUUUCUUGAAAACAAUUUAGAAAUCUCUAUCAGUGAGCCUUAGUAAACUCAAUUCCUGGAAUAAUCAAAAUAAAUGCUCAUAUUUAUGUGCAAGGGGAAGGAUUGCAGGGUUACUUAUCAUCAAAUGAAAAUACACUCAUUAUUCAACCCUUAGAGGGUUGAUAAAUUAGAGGACAA